UUUAGCUUAUAUUAAAAGAUAUUUAGCUAAGGUUUGGAUAUUUUUCUUUUAGUCCAAUUUUAAGACCCAAAUAUGAAGCCCAAGACCCUUUAACCUAUCAGCUCUUUUUAAUUUAAUCCUAGUCAUUCACUCCCUUUCAUCCAAUGGUCAAAACUAAACUCCACCCACAUAUCUACCUAAUUACAACCUAAAACCUAACCCUAGAGAACACCCAUCUAACCUAGAGCAGCCGCCCUCCACUCCCCUUCAUCAAAAUCGCCGUCGUCGCUCCCUUCCCCAUAUCCAUCUUCAAACUUGAACACACCCUAGCUGAAACCUAAUUGGAUACACCCAAAAAGACUCCAAGCCAUCAGCAGCCUGGACACCACCCAAUCUCCCAACGAAAAUGACGGGAUCUCCAAAAGCUUCAGUGGUUCUUGCUUCUUCAUCUUCGACCUCCAGUACAACAGCGACCCUGAGCUUCAGCCGUCGACCACUUUUGUGCACGCCUCUUUUCUGAUCUCUUACAAGAAAAGCAACCAUGAACACUAGAGAAACCUAAGACUCGAACCUCCAAAAACCGGCAGCAAAUCCUGCGACAAACCAACACAACCGCCCUUUACCUCACUAGAACCGCCGCCCACUAGCUGCUCACUACCACCGUCCACAAUACCAGCGACCCCUUUCUAUAAAACUCUUCACCCUUACACUAAAAACUAGUCGUUCCUCACCAUUCACGCAUACACAAAGCAUCAGAAACAGAGAGUGAACGAAAAGGAGUGGGGAUGGACUGAUCUGAUUACUACAAUAAUAAAUACCUAAAGUGUCUUAGCUUCAUUUGUUCUAUAUUAUUUUGAAAAAGGGAAAUCAAAAAAGAAACAGAGUUAAAGUUUUUUUUUGUCGGAGUUCAUUGCUUGAGCUUGUUUGGGUAUGAAUCGGUGUUGAUUUAAAUUUUCCGGUGCCGAUUUCUGAUCCCAUUUGAUUUUCUCUUUUCGGUGCCAAUUCGAGUUCCGUCGAGGUUCGAAUGUCAUCCGACGAGGUUCUAUCAUUUUGAGGUCUAUUUCUUCCUUCUGCUAUUUUGCUUAGUAUUAGGCUUUUAUUGUGUUAUCAUUUUGUUGUUGCUUUGUUUUGCUGAAGGUUAUCGUUUCCUUACUCUGUUUCAAUGAUUUCUUGCCAUUUGAUGCUCCAUUUCUUCUUGUUAAUUGGUUAUCCUCUAUUCUGAUGAAUGGUUAGAUAAGUUUAAUUGGUUAUUUCAAUUAUUCACUAAGAGAUAGAUGUUUAAGGGCAUAUUGAGUAACAUUUUGGUGAUUCCAGAGUUAAAUUAAUUUAUUAAUUGAAUUGGGUGAUGACAUAGAUAGUAAAACAAGUAUGUGGCCGAGGGAUUGGAUUGGAACUUAAAAGUUAAUUGAAAUAUUUUUACUACUCUUUUAAUUAAUUAAACAGUAAGGAGCAUGUUUAGGACGGCCGCACUUGGGUAGGCAAGCCUUAGUAUUUUUGUUAGUUUUGAGGCGAGAGGUCGUUCCUUUAGUUUAUUAUCCAGGGAAUGCCCCGUGAAAUUUUGUAUAUAUUUUUAUCCGGGGUAUGGCCCGUAGUAUUUGUAUUUGGAGACCGAAAAUAGAACUUGUAGUAUUCUUAAUUUAUUUUCAUUAUUUUUUUAUUUAGGUGGGGACGACCUCGAGCCUCUUUUGUGUUUAUUUUCCUUUUUGUAAUUUUACCUCAAUUUGAAUAUUUUAAAGGCCAACUAUAUCGAGUACUCAACCUUGACCUUCACGGGACUUGGGAAGUUCCUAACACCUUCUCCCCGAGUCAAAUGAAUCCCCUUACCCAAAUCUCUUGUGCGGACUUAGUUUUGGAGUCCAAAGUGUUUUAAAAGGAAAUUCUUUUUAAAAAACGGUGACCUGGCACAUCGAAACCAAUGUCAGGUGGCGACUCUGAGUUAUUUCCUUUUGAACACAAUUUUGUCACUUUUUAACUAAAAACCCUUUUGAGCUUUACAAUAUUCUUUUAUUAUUUUUAAGAGGGUUAAUGAAUUGGUAAAAAAAGGGGUGUGACAGCUCUGGCGACUCUGAUGGGGAGUUGCAGGUUCAAGCUGAUACUUGAUCUUGUUGGCUUUUAGAAUAUCCGAUUGAGGUGUUUAUGUUUUUCUUUAAGCUUUAUCUGACUUUUAUUAUGUUUUUAUACUUUGUUAUUAUUUGCUAGUUGUUUAUGUGAGUACAGUUUUCUUUUUAUAUGUUUACUGCUUUAUAACUGUCAUCAUUUGCAUAACCCCAGGUUUUCUUUAUGCAACAAGUCUUCUGGAGUACGUUUGAGCAUACACGGCCUUUUUGUGAGUCACCUGUGUCUUUAAGGGGGUGGCGUGGAGUGGGCGAACAGCUAGAGCAGCCGCCAUCGACCACGUGCCGCCCCGAAUUGCCUUGUCUAGUGAACCCCAAACGUAGGUCAGCUUUUAGGUCAUGCUUAUUUGCAUCAUAUCAUUUAAACCUAGAAGGGUUCGGUCCCAGGCACCGUGUCCCGUUGUAGGAGGUCUAUCCAAAUUAUGUCAAAAUGGGCUCAUGGCCUAAACGACAUUUAAUCAUCCCUAUGUGCUACAAGCUGCAUUCUUUUAGGGUAAGUGGGUCAUUUGGCGGACCAAUAAGAUAAAAAGAGGGUGAGGUAUAAAAUGAAGCAAGUAGGGCCUAAUUAUAUUUUUCUUUCACAACUUUUUCAAGAAAAGACCAAAAAAAUUUGAAAAAGAAAAAUCCAAAAAGUUUUUGCAGUUUCCCAUCAUUUUUCAAAAAUAAAAAAAAAAAAGAGAAAGAAAAUUCAAAAAAAAAAUUACAUUUUCCAUCAUUUCUCAAAAAGACAAAAAAAUAGUUUCUCCAAAUUAGUUGCAUUUUGUUUUAAAAAAAGAAGAAGCUUUUUCCCAUAUCCAAUCUUCCCAAACUACGCAUACCUAAUUCUCAUCUUUCGGGGCGGGAUACGUAGGCAGUCCACAUAAGAUCCGGUCUUCCUAGUGUCUUAGUUUCUUGGCUUCGCGGGGUCUUAGCCAAAUCUUGCAUGUCUAGCCACAUUUGGCUACAUUGGCUAUUUUUGCAAAAUAGGGCUAUUUUGAGAAGUGGCUUGUUGAACCGUGUAUGGAGAAUCUAGAAUCCACAAUUAGAUGUUUGUUUACUUCAAGGCCCAUUCCUUUUCAAUUUGCAUAUCUAGCCACUUUUGGCCACAUCGGUCAUUCUUGCAAAAUGGGGUCAUUUUCGCAAAAGUGGUUCAACGACCCAUGUCUUAGGAUUUUGAGUCCACAACUAGGUGUCAUAUUACUUUAAGGUUCGUUCUUUAUGAGUUUGCAUCUUUAGCCAUUUUUGGCGAUAUUGGCUGUUUUUACUAAAAUGGGUCAUUUCUGCAAAUUAAUUUUGGGCCAUGAUUAUCGAGAGUUUGAAUUCAUAUAAGCCUUAGUGAGGUAUAUUUUCAUGUCUUAGAGGUCACAUUUGUUGAGUUUGCAUUAAUAGCCACUCUUGGCAUGUAGGUUAAUUUUCAAAAAUAUCUUAAUCUUGUCUUGCAUGUGUCCAAUAAGAGGUGUGAUCUCACAUAGUGUCUCGAUUCAUUUAAUCUAUUUGGUCUUAUUUUUUUCAUUCAGGUAUGGAUUUAUUUACCAAAACUCGAGCACGACAGAUACCCCGGGACCAUCACAUUUGGGAGCUGUUUGAGGAGACUUUUUAUUUUUGAGUCUGUUUUAUAUUAUUUUUUUGCUUUCUAGUCUUGUAUGAUAGUAUUCAGUAUUUUAGUUGGUGUAACAGUUUGUCGUAGUAUAGUUGAGUUUGUUAAGUCUCGCAUCAUCAUAUUUCUUGUUUUGUAUUUGAAAAACCAAAAAAAGUUAUAAAUGAAAAAUUCUAAAAGAUUUUUAGUUUAUU
rnacentral:lncRNA from 1 species